GGCUCUAUAGUGUAGCGGUUAGCACGUCUGCUUUACACGCAGAAGGUCCUGGGUUCGUGCCCCAGGUGGGGCCA
rfam:Pteropus alecto contig49601, whole genome shotgun sequence.